rnacentral:tRNA from 1 species
GCGCUGAGGGCACAAUAGUUAAGUGUUUGGCUGCUAACUAAAAGAUUGGUGGUUCGAACCCACCCAGUGGCU